AUUUUUCAUUGGAUUAGAUAUAGCCUAUAACAAGUAAAGGAAGAAAACAGAAGUUAAGACGGAAGGUAUUAUAAUCACUAGAAGGAAAAUAUUUUUUAUAAAUCGCCAAAGAUAAGAUGGAUCCAUUAUUUCUGAUAAGUCUUGUCCUUAUUUCUUCAUUACAAGGUGAGUAUGUUGUAAUAAUAACGAAAUUUUCCGAUCUUUUACCCUUUUUUUAAGUUUUAGCAUGACGUUUCACAUUCAUAAAUAAACUCUUUGAGCUGCAGAAAUGUUUCAAUUACUACAAACUGUCCAGAUUCCAAUAUUCUGCAGGUUGUAUUUUUGUACUAUGGUUAGCAAUUACAGCCGAAAUCUUACUCGUCGAUUUUUUUUUUAAGGUGAACAUUGGUGAAGGAAGCAUAUGAAAUAUAAAAAAAGAAAAAGUAAAAUCACAAAAAUACAGAACUACGAGGAAAAUUCAAAACGGGAAAUCUCUAAUCAAAUUGCAAAAUCAAAAGCUCAAACUCAUCAGACGAAUAAAUAAUAACUGUCAUAUUCCUGACUUUACCAAUAAAUCAUCAAAUUUUCAAUGUAUACCAAACGAUUUUUACUUCUUCUGUUGAUGAUACAUAGAUUACCAUGUCAAGAAUGUAUUUUUCUAAAAACAGAUUUUAUGACUUAAGAAAUUCAGGAAAGUUAUAAAAUUCAUAGGUACUUGGAGACAGGACAAUUUUUAACCCUCCCCCUAUUCUGAAACCAUUAUUCUUUUUUCUUCUAUUAAUUGUAAUGAGUCUUCAAGUGAUAACGCGUCUUUCGGUAUACCUUAACCAACCGUAUACUCUUAUUUCUAUAUAAUAUGUAACUGAUGUUGAUAGUAAACUUAAAAUUGUUAGUAAUGACAAGUACACUUUAUGUAUAGAAUAGGUAUGUUCAAAGUUUAUACAGAGAAAGCAAAAAUAAUUGUCCUGUUCUCAAGAAACUUAAAGGAACUCUUGUUAUGACGUGAAAGUUAGUCCGAUGACGGAAACAAUAUCCGGACGCCUUUAAUAUCGUAUUUCUUCCAAAAAAAUCCAAAUGAAAUAAUUAUAAGCGAGGCAGACCAAUGCGACUAUACAUGGUACCUAUGACUUAAUGGUGAAUUACAGGAAUAUACCUGUUUGUGUUAACAUAUUUACUUGUGUGUGUUGACAUCAAUAUCAUAAUAAUUGAAAUAAAUUAACUGCUCACAUAACGUUAAAAUUUUUCAAAAACGAAGGAUAUUUUCACGUAGGAAUAUCAAACCACUUCAGCUGUAUACGGCAUUUUGAUGUUUUGGAAAGUUAAGUCAUAAAUAAUCUCUAACUUCGUAAUUAAUUUGGCCUUUUGGAUUUUCUUGAAAUCAAUGUCACUGAUGUCAAAUAUGUACCUAUCUGUAUAACAAUACAGAUAGAGCUGUUCGGACUACAUUAUUUUAAUAGCUAAGUGUCAUUUUAAUGUUGUAUUGCUAUAUUACUUUCCAUACAUAAAUAUGUGUAUCUUGUGUUGUAACUUUAAGCUAAUAAACCAUGUUUUAUUUAAAACAAAAAAUCAAAAUGUUAAGCAUUCUGAAUUUAAUCAAUCACAAAUCUAAUAAAUAAUUUGACUAAUUAAUUUUACAGGUGUCUAUGGAUCCUGUCCUGGGUGUGUGUCUAAAGGGUAAGUAUUAUAAAAAAAAGUAUUAAUAAAAAGUACCAGGAUUAUUAUAACUUUAUAUUGACAAAAUUGGGUGAAAACACAAUUAGACAUAAAAACAAAUUGUAUGAUCAAUUAUAAGAAAAUGAUUAUUAGUUUACAACUGUUAUUAUGUUGUACUGUUAAACCACUGUCCCAGGUAAGGGAGGGGUUUGGCGCCUAACAACAUGUUAAGUCCUCCACAUUCUAAAUGUCUAACAAAUGUAAGCUUUCAGAAAAGCUAUGGACUACUUCGUUUUAUCCAAAUUUCCACUAAUAUGUGUGCAUGUGGUUGUUGGGUUAGUAUUAGUCAUUGAAAUAUGGCAUUUUUAAAUAUAGAUGAUUGAUACAAAAUGAACGUUCUUUAAGAGUGUACGUUAUACACCCAUGCUUUUUUGCCUCUUGGGAGGUGUACCUAGAUUGUCAAAAGUUAUAAAAUACAGAUAAUGCAUGUUUGUAAACAUUAUAUAGUAACAUUGUUUAUAAAAGCAAAUCAUGCAAAUUGCAGAGUAACAAAGCAAAAAAACAAAAGUAUGAAUAAUUGAAUGUAUCUGUGAAAUAUAUAGCAUGAAUUAAUGACAGUUGAUCGGAACGGAAAAACACAUAAAAUUGAGAAUGGAAAUGGGGAAUGUGCCAAAGAGACAACAACCCGACCAUAGAAAAAACAACAGCAGAAGGUCACCAACAGGUCUUCAAUGUAGCUAGAAAUUCCCGCACCCGGAGGCGUCCUUCAGCUGGCCCCUAAACAAAUAUAUACUAGUCCAGUGAUAAUGAACGCCAUACUAAUUUCCAAAUUGUACACAAGAAACUAAAAUUAAAAUAAUACAAGACUAACAAAGGCCAGAGGCUCCUGACUUUGGACAGGCGCAAAAAUGCGGCGGGGUUAAACAUGUUUUGUGAGAUCUCAACCCUCCCCCUAUACCUCUUGCCAAUGUAGAAAAGUAAACGCAUAACAAUACGCCCAUUAAAAUUCAGUCCAAGAGAUGUCCGAGUCUGAUGUCAGAAGAUGUAACCAAAGAAAAUAAACAAAAUGACAAUAAUACAUAAAUAACAACAGACUACUAGCAGUUAACUGACAUGCCAGCUCCAGACUUCAAUUAAACUGACUGAAAGAUUAUGAUUUCAUCAUAUGAACAUCAGGCACAAUCUUUCCCGUUAGGGGUUUAGUAUCAUACCAUCAUAACAUACACGAGAAGAAAAUAACCCGUGUCAUACUUAAUUUUCCGGCAGUUGAUAUCUUAUCCUGGAUAAGAAAAGUCUGUCAUUUGUUAUCUCAUUUAAGUCAAUAGCUGUUACUGUGUCCCAGUCGCAUCAUAAUGCAACAAAUCAGAAUCUAUCAUGUAAUAAAAAAUUAAUUCAAGAUGGAGUGUAUUUCGACUGAAGCUAAUAUCUCCGCAUCGUGAUGCGUAACAAAAAAGAAGAUGUUGUAUGAUUGCCAAUAAGACAACUAUUCUUAACAGACAAAAUGACACCGAAAUUAAAAACUACUAUAGAUUACUGUAUGGCUUUCAACAAUGCAAAAAAGAGUAAACCGCAAAGUAAUCUAGAACAGGCCGCGAAAUAACAAAUGUAAAACUAUUCAAAUGAAUAAAUUCACGGCGUACUGUACGUACCAAAUAAAUAACGAAAAAACGAAAAAAAAAAAUAUUUAACACAUCAAAAAGUAAAUUCACAAAAAUAUUGGAGCGACAACCACUAAAUUGCAGGCUUCUGACUUGUGAUAGGCACAUACAGAAUGUAGCGGGGUUAAACAUGUUAGCGGAUGCCCAAUUAUCUCCCUUACCUGAGACAGUGGUGUAACAGUUUAACAAAAGAACGAACUUUAAACAUCAGUUGAAAAGGGUUUAACUCAGCAGAUGGAUACACACAGAAAUGUGUUAUAAUACAAAAACACAGAGUAGACGUGGCAGGGUACAUAUUUGCACAUCCCAACAACAAAAAGACACAACGUACAAAUCUGAGAGUACUCGCGGUAGCUGACAGCCUGUUCAAAUAACAACUAAUAAAAUAAUUAUAUAUCUAAGACAGAACUAUCAAUCAGUACACAUUCAACAUCGAAUGGAUGUAGUGUGAAGACUUCAUAAACAUUCAGAGAAAAACAUGACAUUGUGCAAUGGCAAGAUACAAGUGUCUAAAGAUUGUAGUUCCACUAAUAUACUUAUGCAUAUAACAAUAAUAUACAGUUUUCCUUUAAUUAACUGACAACAUAUUCAAUUGUAAUACCAAUAAAAGCAAUAUAUACACUCAAUUACAGUGUUGAUUUGGUCAAGUGUAAGAAUAAGUUUAUUCGAAGCAUCGAUAACUUUGCCACGAUCCUUUCUAAACUUCCGGGCAUGGUACACAAUACUCGUAAAAAUGAGGAUAUGCUAUCCCGAUCAAAAUAUAUUUUCUACAGGUACAACCAAGUCUUUAUAUCUAUAGAAGAACUAAGUAAAGAUUUCAAAUAAUCUUAGGUAACGAAAUCCCUGGCUUAAUAUUUACCAGUUAUACAUAGAUUUCGUUUGUUUUAAAUAAAAAAACCACAAACGUCACAACAGACACGGGCAUAACCGAACGAGUUGUGAAAUAUAAACACCGUAAGAUGAUACCAAAAAAAUAUCACCAUCCAAAAAAGGAAAAUUAAUAAUAGAGAACAAAAUAUCUUCCGUUUUGUCGAACAUUUCAGUGUUGAAAAUCCAAUGUAAAACCGAAAUAUGUAAAUCUAGGAAAGUGCAGUUAUUACCGUUUACAUUUGAUUUAUUUAAAGAAAGUUCCUUUGGGUAAAUGUAGACAGUAUAUUUAGGAAAUUCUUAGUAAUUUACCGAAAAAAUAUCAUCAAAAUGACGGUGAGUGCUGUUGAAUUGAUCCAUUUAGACGGUUCUUUACUGAUAUUAGCCAUAGAUUGUGAUUCACAACUGUACAAAACCAAGUUUGCCAUCAGAAGGUCGCAGUUUGUACCCAUAGGAAUACAUAUAACCUGUCGAUAAACUUUGUUGCCGAAAUGGACAUAAAUAUUAUCAAGGAGAAAAAUUAAAAGCUAAAAUCAUCGCAUCACUCCUCCAGUAAGUCUAUUAGCAUAGCUACCUUUCUCAUUAGCGAAGAAUGCUUUAAUUGAUUUGCAGCAAAUGUAUUUGCAUUCAGAUUAACCAAACGACCAUUCAAUUAAAUAAAUUAAAAAUACACUAAACAAAUAGUUAAUUCCACUUUUUUCAUAUAUUUUAUCAAAGUAAAUGAUAAGUGUUUUGAUAUAAGUUACGAAACUUGUUGAAAGCACUACAAACCGACAUAUAACGGUAUUUUGUUGUCUUUUGUGUACUUUAGGUAACCAAUACACCAAUACAUAGUAGGGACUUUCAAAUGUUCAGAAAAAGCAUUAAGCUAUGAUGUGGUUGUGCUACUAUAUUGUUUACUAUAUGAUUUUCUGUAGAGCGCACGGACUUAAAUGUAGACGAAUUAAAAUUGCAUUCUUAAGAACGUUCUUUAGUAUUUACGUCAUACCACCACCACAUUGUUAGCUGCUUAAAUUUGUCGGCCGGUACAAACUGUAUGAUUAAUGAAUUAUUUUUAUAAUGUGAUAUUCGAAUAUCCACAACUUUCAUACAUUUAUUUUGAUAAGAAAUAAGAGAUUUUGAUAUCAAAUCUUCCAGUCAGGAAAAUUCGAUUCAGUGCUAUUUCUCAAGUGAAUUGUUUCUGUCUGGGGUCUUUCAAUACAUAAUGGUUUUAUAGUAUCUAUACUCACCUAGUAUGUUCUGGCCUUUUUUAUCAGUUAUAUUAGGUUUUAGUAUUUGUCUUUGUAUAUUUUUUUGGAAACAUUUUCAGUCCAGUCAAUGUUUGACGUGACACGGUAUGUAUACAUCCCGCCUUGAUGUUAUUGUGCUAUGAUUUUGUUUUACUCUUGUCUUUCAUAUUUGUUGAUGUACAUUGCCAGUUGAGUGUUUAUAUACAUAGUUGUUCGUUUUCAUAGUAAAUAAGAUUAGAACACAAUGUUGAAUGCUGUACUCCAUUUUUAAACACUUUUACCUAGUAUUUUUGUUUGGUUUGUUCCCCAAUUUUUGUAAAUAUAAUAAAAUUAUUUUCGACUGCAUUUCAAGUCAGGGUUUUAAUUCGCUAUAAAACCAGGUUAAAUCCAUCAUUUUCUACAUAAGGAAAUGCCUAUACCAAAUUAGGAAUAUGACAGUUGUUGUCCAUUUAUUUGAUUGAUUGGGCUUUUGGUAAGGGCUUUUCCAUUUUGAUGUUUUUUUGGAAAUCUGUUUUUCUAUUUGUUUUUCUUUUAUAGUCGCUUAUGCGGUAUUGGUUUGUUGAAUUAUUGAAGGCCGCACGAUGGUCUAUAAAUGCUUAAUUACAACUUUAUUUGAAUUCUGUUGGAUAUUUGUCUCAUCGGCAAUCAUCACAAUUUCUUAUUUCAAUAUUAUAGAAUUCAUGAUGACUAAAAAUGAAUUUAGUGUCGACAUUUCCUUGAUUAUUCUUACUUAAACGGGUUACUAUAACAGAUUUUUCUAAAGGACAAAACAAUUAGUAGCAAAUUAGUGGUAACUUCUUGAGCUACCUUCUUGUACAAAAGUAGUCAUACUCCAGACUUUGUGUGGAUAAACCUUUGAUUGCUUUGGCAUAAGGAUUUUCUUUGAAAAUGCAUUCACGGAAAUAUUGUUUUAAUUACCGUGAUUAUUUUAUUGGUUUCUUAUUUAACGUCAAAUGAUAUUAAUUUGAUGAAAUUUGUCACAUCGACAAUUUUAAGCAUGGAACCCAAGUGAUAAGAGUAGGAGUCAAACUAAAGUUAGUUUGGUGGGUGUCAUUAUGGGCUAUCGGGUUUUACUGUAAAGUGUCAUUACAAUGUGAAUCUAUAUGGUUAGAACAGUAUUUUCGAAACAAACGAGCUAUGUGUUUUUAAUUUUUAACAAUACAUGGAGUCCCCGGUUUCCCCGCGGCCGGUGAUACCGCGCAUUAGGUGAUUUCUUCAUAUAAACAAAGUAACACAAAUAAAAUCGCAGGUACUCCUGAAUGGUUAGUAGAUCCGGCUUCACGUAUGUCACCCGCCAAAUUAUAUUUUCUUAUAUAUCAUUUAAGAGUUCGUUUACAUUUGCACACAGUAUAAGACAAUCUGACAAAGCCUCACAAAGGCUUUAUAAAUAUACUGCAAGAAAAUAGUGAGAUAGGAAAAAAGACAAUGUAAAAGGUUAAUCUUAUGUAAAAUAAAUAAACAAGUCGACCUUUGUUUAUAAAAGGUAAAAUACCAAAACAUAUACGAACUCACAAGGAAAACUGGACGUCCCUUUUAAAAUGGAAUAAUCAUACGCUCAAACACAUCAAGCACAUUAAACGUAGGGUAAACAACUGUCAUAUUCUUAACUUUCUUGUGUAGAAAAACAAGAGUGUAACUGAAAGUAUGGAAACUUCAAAUUAAAGCCUGUUAAUUUUCUUAUAACCUUACAUUUUAAAUCAAGUCACAAUGUUUCAAUGAGUAUCUUCUGACAUUUUUAUUUUGAUUAGUUGUAAAAUAAAAUUGAAAUCUAUUUUGUCGCGAAAAAACAAAAUAGAAACUGAAAAGACAUUCAUACCUUAGAAAUAUUUACAUGAGAGGAAAUGGUUGGAAAAACUCCUUUCACACUCUUUUAUUCAUUACAACUUCACUAGAAACGAAACAGCAGUCAAAAAUCUGUUGUAACUCAACAUGUAAAUUAGAGUAAACCUAUACUACAGAUUCGUUGACUUUGAGAGAAAAGCACAGUUGCUAAACUCCAUACCAUAUAGUCGACUCAAAAAGGCACCGACAUGACUAAUAUGAAACAAUUAUGAAAACAAACGUCAUGAUUUAUAUAAAAAAAGGAUUUACAAGAAUAAAAGACAAAUAUCAACCACAACAACCACUCACCUUCAAGCUCCGAGCUUGGGACCAUCACAUAUAGAAUGUGUGGAGAAUUAAACAUGUUAGAAAGUAGAAACCAUCCGCUUACCUGGGACAACCGUGUAACAGUACAAAAUAAGAAAUCGCUAUAAAAUUAGACAAAAAGAGCUUAAUUCACGUGUUAUGUCCGAUUUGUUCUAACAAAUAUCCGAUUCUACAACGUUACUACAUACAAUAUGAUUGUUGUAGUUAUUCGCCUUCAAAAAAGAAUUAGUGUCAAACUUGUUGCUAAUGUAUUUAUAAAUUUACUCGAGUAUGCAUCAAAUUGUAUUUUCAGAGCUAUAACUGGAUUCGCCUGUUUAUCUAUAAUUGUUUUUGGGGGUAUAUACGGCCUCAUAAAACUAUGUUACAAACGUAAGUUUUUAUCAAAAUAAGUUCGUUUUUUAAUUCUUUGAAAUCAACAGACACAAUUUUAUAUGCUACGUCACAACAAUGGAAACUGCUUUAAAGUCAAUGUUUAUGCCUUAUAGACCAAAAUAUAUACCAGAACGGGAGUAACAAAUAUUAAACAACGCAACUUGACAAAAACUAAAGUUUUUAUAUUAUUUUACAUAAAAUGUAGCCAACGACUAAAUAAUAACAAGCUUAUUAAAGUUUUCCAAUAAUCACAUAGGUGGUCUACAAAUCUAAAACUUGUUUGAUCCUUUUUUUUUGAAUAUUUCAAUUGUUUUAGGUAUAAAUAAUAAUUCCACGAACAGGUGUACAUUUUCAUAUAAAUUAGAUCGUUGGUUUUUCCGUUUGAAUGGUUUUACACUAUUAAUUGUGUGGCACUUUAUAGCUUGCUGUUCGGUAUGAGUCUAUGCUCUGUGUUUAAGACCGUAGCUUGACCUAUAAUGGUUUAUGUUUAUAAGUUGUGACUUGGACGGAGAGUUGUCUCAUUUGCACUCCUACCACAUCUUCCGUUGUCUAUUAAAAUAAAUAAAUAUUUUUGUCAAACAAACUUUGAAUAUUACUCCUUUCAUAGAAAUGAAUUUGCCUUUUGCUAAUAUCUACCAAAACGGUUGCUUUGUAUCCAAACUUGGCUUGGAAAUGCUAAAAAAUAAAUUUAUGAAAUUACUGUGUGCAUUCGAGGCGCUAUUACCUUCAAAGCGAACUAUAUUGUUGACUAACCUCCAUAGUGAACGCUUUAGUUUAUUUAACUCCACCAGGAACGUAAUUAUUUAUUUAUCGUCAUUUAAACUCCAAUUUAGUUGCACCUUCACAAGGAACUAUAUUGAUAAUUUGUAUUCAUUUGAAACGCUACUGUUUAUAUAUCUUCAUCCGAUACAUUAUCUUGAUUUACCUUUAUCUGGAACGCUGUUAUUAAUAUUAUUCCAUCAGGAAGGCUAUUAUUGGUUUAAAUCUAUCAGGAACACUCAAAUCAUCGUUAAUAAAAACGAGGCACAAGAACACCAAUCAACACGAUUUGACCUACAAUGUAAGAAUAUCAAUUGUGUAUCCAUUGUUUUGUAAUUAUCAUGACUCUCAACAAAACAUGGAAUACUGUUUUAAAUGGAAUAUUAUUGUAUAAUAUCAUUAAACAGUUGAUUUUAUUUUUAUCAUAAUGAUUUUCGAUUAUGAAAUAUGAUAGUUUCAAUACAAUUUUUGUUAUGUAUUUAAAGAUUUUCAUGGGGAAAAAGGCAGAGUUGGAAAUCUUGAAUCAAUUGCAGAUGAUAAAGAUAUAGAAAUUGGCCAACAACAGAAUGAUCAGCUAGAUUUUGAAAAACAACCUGCAUACGGUCAACCAAUGUAGAGACAUCAUCCAAUUAGGCCCUGAUCCAGCAUACACACAACCUUAUCAAUAUCACGCGUGUAAAACUGAUAUUUCAGACUCCCGACAUUAACUUGUAGUAACUUAUAAUUCAUUGUGUUGAUUAACA
rnacentral:lncRNA from 1 species